UGGAGAGUUUGAUCCUGGCUCAGGAUGAACGCUGGCGGCGUGCUUAACACAUGCAAGUCGAACGGGAUCUAGUCAGCUUGCUGACUGGUGAGAGUGGCGAACGGGUGAGUAAUGCGUGACCAACCUGCCCCAUGCUCCAGAAUAGCUCUUGGAAACGGGUGGUAAUGCUGGAUGCUCCAACUUGACGCAUGUCUUGUUGGGAAAGUGUUUAGUGGCAUGGGAUGGGGUCGCGUCCUAUCAGCUUGUAGGCGGGGUAAUGGCCCACCUAGGCUUCGACGGGUAGCCGGCCUGAGAGGGCGGACGGCCACAUUGGGACUGAGAUACGGCCCAGACUCCUACGGGAGGCAGCAGUGGGGAAUAUUGCGCAAUGGGGGAAACCCUGACGCAGCGACGCCGCGUGCGGGAUGAAGGCCUUCGGGUUGUAAACCGCUUUUGAUUGGGAGCAAGCCUUCGGGUGAGUGUACCUUUCGAAUAAGCGCCGGCUAACUACGUGCCAGCAGCCGCGGUA
rnacentral:rRNA from 1 species